GCGGCGCGCAGGGAGGGGCAGGCGGAUGGGUGCCUGUGUCCUGAGGCGGCCUUUCAGCUCAAGGGGGGUCAGGCAGCUGUCAGCCCCCGAGGUUUAAAUGCGCUGCCGGAGGAGGAGCGCCGUCCUUUCCUCCCACUCCCCCUGAAGGGAGGGGGGUUGCGCCCGCGGUGCUCAGCUCUUCGGCUCGCCCCGCUCCCCCUCCUUAUCAGCGGGCAGGCUGGCCGGCCGGCUGGCUGACUCACUGCUGUGGCAGGGAGAGGGAACGGCCCGGCGGGAGCCCCCGAGGCCGCAACCGCUUCUGCGGAGCCGCAGCGCUCCCCGCAGGCUUCAGCCGCUGCCGGGCACAUGGAAACCGCCCUGCCCGGUUGUGUGUCCUGAUCCCACCGCUGUCACCUGGCACGCUGCUCCAGUGCUUCGGAAGAUGGAGGUGGACGGGUGCCAGGCAAGGCUUAUAAGUAAAAAAAAGAAAAUAAAAAAUCUCCAUCUACAAUUCAACUGGCCUGAACGCUACUCGACUUCUCUGCCAUUGAAUUUUAAAUAUAAACAAGCCCCAAUGUCCCUAGGGAUAACGUAUAGAAAAGGAAAAAAAGGCUAUGCUACUAAAGAUGUUCCAAUUUAUACACAAAACCAACUGAUAUUCAUGAAAGCCUUGCUGAGGCUGCUGUGAAACAAGUUUGGAGCAGAUCUGUAGGCAUUACUGCUGUCAGUAAAUUCAGGGUAUCUGCUAAAACAGAGAUCAGAGGUCUGGAGAAGAUGUUAUUUCAUAUAGUAGAAAUUGCCAGGAAAUGAAGAAGCACGGUUAAAAUUACAAGCCUAGUGGUCAGACUGAAGAACACUCAACAGAGCCCUUGGUAGAGGUCAAAUGUCUUACUAAAAAAAGCUCAAGUGGAUGUGCUUGAAGUAAAGAAAAAGGAACAUGCAAGUGAAAUAAAUCUACACUAGACAUAAACCAACUUCCUUGAUUUUAAUUAAUAUAACUUCCUGUCUCAGCUACCCCCUUACCUGUUUCAAACUCUGUCCUCAGUUGAUCAUACAGCACUGCCUCAAGAUACUUAUUUUUAGCAUUAAUUUCUGUAUUGGUAGGUGAUGGUCCUGCCACAGGGAGAUAAAGUAGACAGUUUGUCAUGGAACAUAAGUAGGAAAGACCCCCCAAAAGUACAUGCUUAAAAACUACAUUUUUACCUGAAGUUUAUUCCUAUGGAAGGACUCAUCUGCUGUUUUUCUGGGCUUUAUGGAGAGUCUGAAUUAAAAACAUCUCGGGUCAUUUUGGUUUGGUCUAGCUGGUGGGAGAAGUCUUUUGUUACCUCUUGAGUGAAGGGUUUGUGUGGCAUCAUCUGAAAUGUGGGAUGUCCCAGGUCUUUGCAGGAUGAAUCUCUGCGAAUAUAUCACUAUAUAAAUGGGAAAAAUGUUUUCAAUUGUUUGUACAUUUUUCUCUGAUUAAGUGCUGGUAUUUGCAUAUGUUUAAUCUUUUGAUAUCAUGGGCUGCACAUUUUUCUGUAAUGAUGCAGCAAAAUGCCUGUCUCCUUGAGAGCAGACAUGCAUUUUUGUGGCUUGAAAGAGCAAUUGUUUACUUGACUGAAAAGCUGUGCACGGUGUGGUACACACAGUGCAGUUACUGCAGGCAGUGGUACAGCAUGUCACAGUAGGAAUUCUGAUUUCAGCAUUGUUAAUGAGUAGUUAAAUAGUCAAGUUAUGUACAGUUUCAUUAUAAAAUCUUAAUUAUAACCCAGAAAAUUAGUUAUGUUUUAAUUCUUGCUGGGAAAUGGCUGCAGUUACAACAUAUUUUCUCAAUUUGCCUUGAACAAGUUCUUAUUGAAGCUACUGUAAAGAUUGCUCUGUUUCUGCUAAAAAUAAAUGCAUGAAUGGAGUA